CACCUACACAGACAAUGCCAUCCAACCAGCCCCUCCACCAGAAAUGCUGCUGCCCUUGAAUGCCCAGCUGCUUGAUGUGUUUCCUUAGGAACAGAGCACAGGCAUUUGUGUUAAAUUCCCACCCCCGAGCUCAACAGCCUAAAUACCCUAAAUACCCAAAGGCAGAAAAGAAUGCAAAUUAUUACUUCCCCUGUUACAUGGGAAAUACGAAGAAGACAAAAGGUGAAGUUCACCCCUGUGCUGAAGAUCACCAUAGGAAGACUGUGUCUGAGUCAGAAUGAUUCAGUCAACAAGCACACAAAACUGCUGCAGGCCCAGUCUCCAGCUGAUGAGAUUACUGACAUGUGAAUUCAUGGACCAAUUGUGAAAGUAGAAGUCAAGCACCCUCGCUCUCUGACUGAGAUCCACAACCCUGAGAAAUGCUUGUUUAUUGUAACAGCAGGGCUGGAAUAUUUACUCACCUGAAGAACAGAGGGUAUUAAAAGAGAAAUAUAAAUGCUCUUA